rnacentral:rRNA from 1 species
GUGCCAGCCGCCGCGGUAAUACGUAGGUGGCGAGCGUUAUCCGGAAUUAUUGGGCGUAAAGGGAGCGUAGGCGGUUUAUUAAGUCUAAGGUGAAAGUUCGGGGCUCAACCCCGUGAUGCCUUAGAAACUGGUAGACUUGAGUACAGGAGAGGUGAGUGGAAUUCCAUGUGUAGCGGUAAAAUGCGUAGAUAUAUGGAGGAACACCAGUGGCGAAGGCGGCUCACUGGCCUGUAACUGACGCUGAGGCUCGAAAGCGUGGGAGCAAAUAGGAUUAGAUACCCUAGUAGUCCACGCCGUAAACGAUGGAUACUAAGUGUUGGACGGAAGUUCAGUGCUGCAGUUAACGCAAUAGUAUCCCGCCUGGGAGUAUGCGCGCAAG